rnacentral:rRNA from 1 species
AUUGAACGCUGGCGGCAUGCCUUACACAUGCAAGUCGAACGGCAGCACGGGAGCAAUCCUGGUGGCGAGUGGCGAACGGGUGAGUAAAGUAUCGGAACGUGCCCAGUCGUGGGGGAUAACGUAGCGAAAGUUACGCUAAUACCGCAUACGAUCUAUGGAUGAAAGCGGGGGAUCGCAAGACCUUGCGCGAUUGGAGCGGCCGAUAUCAGAUUAGGUAGUUGGUGGGGUAAAGGCUCACCAAGCCGACGAUCUGUAGCUGGUCUGAGAGGACGACCAGCCACACUGGGACUGAGACACGGCCCAGACUCCUACGGGAGGCAGCAGUGGGGAAUCUUGGACAAUGGGCGAAAGCCUGAUCCAGCCAUGCCGCGUGCAGGAUGAAGGCCUUCGGGUUGUAAACUGCUUUUGUACGGAACGAAAAGGUUUGGCCUAAUAAGCUGAGCUCAUGACGGUACCGUAAGAAUAAGCACCGGCUAACUACGUGCCAGCAGCCGCCGUAA